rnacentral:ncRNA from 2 species
AAAUGUUCUCAGGGCGGGGUGUAAUUCCCCACCGGCGGUAUAGGUGUUUAUCCGAUAUAAGCUCCUCAGCCCGCGAGCGCUGCUUCCUUAAAAAGAUGCAGGUCAGCAGAUCCGGUGUGAUUCCGGAGCCGACGGUCAUAGUCCGGAUGAAAGAGAACCGCG